rnacentral:rRNA from 1 species
GAUGAACGCUGGCGGCGUGCCUAAUACAUGCAAGUCGAGCGAACAGAUAAGGAGCUUGCUCCUUUGAAGUUAGCGGCGGACGGGUAAGUAACACGUGGGUAACCUACCUAUAAGACUGGGAUAACUUCGGGAAACCGGAGCUAAUACCGGAUAACAUUUAGAACCGCAUGGUUCUAAAGUGAAAGAUGGUUUUGCUAUCACUUAUAGAUGGACCCGCGCCGUAUUAGCUAGUUGGUAAGGUAACGGCUUACCAAGGCGACGAUACGUAGCCGACCUGAGAGGGUGAUCGGCCACACUGGAACUGAGACACGGUCCAGACUCCUACGGGAGGCAGCAGUAGGGAAUCUUCCGCAAUGGGCGAAAGCCUGACGGAGCAACGCCGCGUGAGUGAUGAAGGGUUUCGGCUCGUAAAACUCUGUUAUUAGGGAAGAACAAAUGUGUAAGUAACUGUGCACAUCUUGACGGUACCUAAUCAGAAAGCCACGGCUAACUACGUG